GUCUACGGCCAUACCACCCUGAACGCGCCCGAUCUCGUCUGAUCUCGGAAGCUAAGCAGGGUCGGGCCCGGUUAGUACUUGGAUGGGAGACCGCCUGGGAAUACCGGUGCUGUAGGCU
ensembl:rRNA 5S_rRNA 5S ribosomal RNA